rnacentral:tRNA from 1 species
GGCCCUGUGGACGAAUUGGUAGAGUUACCGCCCUUUCAAGGCGGAGUUUGCGGGAUCGUAGCCCGCCAGGGUCA